GGUGUGCUCAGUGGUAGAGCGUGUGCCUAGCAUACAUGAGGUCCUGGGUUCAAUCCCCAGUACCC
rnacentral:tRNA from 1 species